CGCAGCCGCGAGGCCGCCCGACCCUUGCCCACCGGCGGGGAACUCCCGCGAGAUGUCCCCAUACCUGAGUGGCGCGGAACAGCGACGUCCCGCGAGACUUCGGAAUCGUGGUCCUAGGGAGGGCCGGGGACUCGCCGCCGUCAUGAUGCUAGCGGUUGUCUGAGUCGCUGACGUGUAGGGGGUGGUCGGAAGCGCGGCUUCCUUCUUGGUGCCUCUCUGUGCUUGUCUCUUUUCUCAUUUUGCCCUCCUUGCGUGAGGAGGACGUCGUGACUGCCCGCGGGAGGUUUUCUGCGCCUUGUGGCGACCGGGAGGAGACAGAACAAGGGGCUUUUCCGGUCCGACCGGGUGUCCUGGCCCACGCAGCUCAGGCGGCUUCCGAGCGUGGCCGGGUCGGGUGUGUGUGUGUGUGUGGUUACGAGUCUGCGGCCCCGCUGGAUGGCAGGAGCCGGCUCAAAGCUGGGGGACGUGUUGGAAAGGUGUAUCCUGGAUUUUGGAGCCGUUGUUUGACGGCUCUGCCUGAAGACCGAGGGCUCCGUAGUGUCUGCCCGAUGUUUUGUCCACCGAUUUGAUGGCUUUUCCUGAAGCCUUGCAUUUUCCGGUCUCUGGGUGUCUUUUUUACUUGGAUGAUUUUCAGGUAUAGCCAGAGGGUGAGGUACCUAGAGAGUCUGUUAAACCUGCAGAAGGUCAGUAACAGUUGUUUGCUUUCUGCUGUUAGCAGAAUAAGGAUCGUGGAACUAAUCUCUAAUCUUCUGUCCAAAUUGUCUCUGUUGGGUAACCUUACCGAAAUUUGGACAUGUGGUCAUCAUCAGUGACCAGAAAUUGUCUAUCAGGUAGACCAGGGCCACCGGCCAAAUCUGGCCUGCCACCAGAUUUUGUUGGAUCUGUGAGCAGGGUGGUUGUUAACAUUUUUUAAAAUAAUUGAGAAAAGAAUCAAAAGAAGUGUAUUCAUGACACGUGAAAAUUAUAUGAAAUUCAAAUUUUAGUGUAUAUAAAUAGUAUUUAUGUAUUGUCUUUUGCUGCUUUUACAAUAGCAGAGUUGCAUAGUUACAAGUGAGACCAUAUGGCCUGCAAAGCCUAAAAUAUUUACUAUCUGGCACUUUGUAGAAAAAAAUCUGCCCACCCCUGAGAUGCAUGAUUAACAGUUGGGCUGCUGGUGUUCAGUACCAUCAGAUCAGUUGUCUUUUUGUUAAUAGGUUUUUAUUCUGCAGUGGCAGACUACAGUUUCCAUGUUUUGGAGCAGAAUCGCAGGUGACCUCUCUUUGCUACUGUGGAAAAUAAAUGAAUACCCAUGCCUCAAAAACAUGACUGUUGAUGUGCAGGGCUAGUCUAUCAAUUUUGGUCAUUUAGAUUAGCAAUCGGCCAAAAUUAUGAGUGCAUUAAUUAGAGUUACUUUUUUUAAUUGCCUGAAUUGUAAGAAUAAAUUUAGCAUAAAACUGCAUAUGGGCACAUGAAGUCUAUAGGAUUGCAGCCGUUUUUUGUUUGUUUUGUUUUUGUUUUUUUUUUGACCACACUGCGAGGCAUGUGGGAUCUUACUUCCCCGACCAGGGAUUGAACCUGUGCCCCCUGCAUUGGGAGCGUGGAGCCUUAACCACUGGACCGCCAGGGACGUCCAGUGGACUCGGGAAACAAGCACAACCGAAGGUAAUUGCUUAGGCCUUCCUAGGAUUUGUUAUUCUUUCAAACUUCAUUUAUCGAUGAGUAUCACCCCUUACAGUAGACUUUCUUAACCUGGACGCUAUUGCCACUUGGUUCUGGAUAAUUCUUGGUUGGGGGCUUUCUUGUACUUUAUAGGAUGUUUAGAAGCAUCACUGGCUUCUGCCGACUAGAGGCCAGUAGUGCCCUGCUCCAGUUGUGACAAUCAAAAAUGUCUCCAGAUACAAAUGAACUUAUUUACAAAACAGAAACAGACUCACAUAGAAAACAAACAUGGUUACCAAAGGGAGAAGGGGGUGGGGGAAGGAUAAAUUAGGAGUUUGGGAUUAGCAGAUACAAACUAAUAUAUAGAAAAUAGAUAAAAAACAAGGUCUAGGGCUUCCCUGGUGGCGCAGUGGUUGAGAGUCCGCCUGCUGAUGCAGGGGACACAGGUUCGUGCCCCGGUUCGGGGAGAUCCCACAUGCUGCAGAGCGGCUGGGCCUGUGAGCCAUGGCCGCUGAGCCUGCGCGUCCGGAGCCUGGGCUCCACAACGGGAGAGGCCACAACAGUGAGAGGCCCACGUACCAAAAACAAAACAAAACAAAAACAAAAACAAAACAAGGUCUUACUGUAUAGCACAGGGAACUCUAUUCAAUAUCUUGUAAUGACCUAAAAUGGAAAAGAAUCUGAAAAAGAAUAUAUAUGUAACUGAAUCACUUUGCUGUACACCUGAAACUAACACAGCAUUGUAAAUCAACUAUACUUCAAUAAAAAGAAAAAUGUCUCCAGACAUUGCCAAAUGUCUCCAAGAUUGGGGGAUGGGGUCAAAGUACCCUCAGUAGACAGCCACCCUAUUAGAUCAAGUAGAAAUCCAGACUUUCUUUCCUUUAAACUUAUUCCAGCGUGGUGCCGAGGACGGCCUGUGAUCUUGAAGCUAGGUUGUCUGGCUAUAGAUCCCUGUCCCUACAUUUUACAAAAAAGUGAUCUGGGAUGCUGAGUCUUAUGCCUUCAGCCCCUGGAGGGGGCUGUGGGUUGUCUUAACUGUUUUCUAGAGAAGCUUCUACUCUGAGCUCAAGGUGCUAUUGCUGCUUUCCUAUAUAAAUGAAUUAAAUCAACUAAAACAAUCUAUAAACUCUGCAGGGCUCCAUAUGCAAGGAAAACAUGAAAAAUGAGUCUGAAAGUGAAAAGUCAGUGAUGCCCUAAUGUGUGAAUUUUAAAAUCAGUUGAAUUUAUUACAAGGUCAGCAGUAAUGGUGUAUUAAUACCCUGAUCUAUGCCAUGGGACAAGCAGAUUUUUAGCGUGUGUGUGAUGGAGGGGAGGGGUGGAGUGUGUAGUAGAGUCCAUCUCAGGAGGCGCCCCAUACUGUUGAUUCUGAAUGCUGUGAAGGACGCUCACGCCCUGACUUGCAGACUCAAGUUUAGAAACUUCUCUCUGUAGGCCAGAUCCCAAGUUCACCAGUAGAUGGCACCCUGGUCCCACCAAAGUUUCUCACUGACGCACACCAGAAAGUUUCAGGGUCCACGGAAGUAGGUUGGGGAGGAAAUCAGAGACGAGAUUAGCCUCCUCUUGGUCACAAAGGAUAAAGUAGGGAUAGGAUGCUGUGAGGAUGAAGUGAAAUGGAGGACCUUGUGCAGAGCUGGGGCUACAGAAGGUAAAGUUGGUGCACCCCCGAAACACCCCUGAACGCCACUGCAGUGUUGUUCAUGCAUCUCAGCACCUAUGGCCUCUUCCAGUCUGCUUUGCCCUAAGGUAGAGAGAACCAGAACUGCCUGGAGAUGACGUCCCACCACUGCAACACUUAAACAAUGACCAAUGGGCCAGAAGAACGCUCAGCUUGCCUUGACUCGGUCUGGAUGGCCCCCGAAAUGUCACUUCCUGCACCUGAGCCCUGGGUAACAGUGGGAUUUGGGAACUCAAUUACCCAGAGUGGCCCCAGCGCGCCCCUGCCUUUUCCUGAAGGAGGACCAGCAUCGCGAGUCUAUCCAGCUGACCUGUUCUCUGUCUGCUGUCCCUCUGAGCCCGGCUGAGGCUGGUUCUGGGAACCAAUGUGUCUCUUGUGGUCCUUGGGAGUCAAGAUUCAAGCAUUUCAGAUAGAUAAGUCUGCUUGUUGAAGAAAUGAGAUUUUUUUCUUCCUAGUGCUGGCUCCUAUGUCUUCUUUCCAUUCAGAGCUGAAAUACCCACUCCCUCCAGAGAUUUGUUUAAAUACUACAUGAACUAGCUUCCUAUUUCCCUGUAUUGAACUGGAUCCAUGAAGGCACAGCCAAUAAACACGAGAAGCAAUAAAUGCCCACACUUAUCAAGGGUCAGGAGCGCGUGACACCCAAGGCACUGACACCUUCAAUUUGCCUUUUUCUAAGCCUAUGAAAUAUUCUAGGCUUUUCGAAAACUUGACUGCACAAAACCAGCUGCUGAAUGUAACCACACUGUGAACGACGAACUAAGUCAACUGUGACUCAAGUAUUUUUCGCACAAACUGUGUCUUCACAAAAGCCACUGGGGCAGGGAAGGGGGUGGGGACGCUAAAAUAUGGAUGCUGGUGGUAGAAGUUGACUGGAGGCCUGACCAUCCUGGCAAUCCCCUCAGUGACUCCGUUUCACUUUGCCAUUUCACAUAGCAAGUUGGAAGAAACCCUUGUUAGGCCUGGUUAGGAAAGGGUCUUAUGAAUUCACGGCCAGGAAUGGAAAAGAUGGAUCUCUAAUCUUAAUAUCUGAUGGGGAUUCUGAUUUACCUCUUGCAGGUUUGCAGAGAGCAAAAGCAGCUUGCCUGGGACUCUCCUGGCAGUCCAGUGGUAAAGAAUCCGCCUUCCAACGCAGGGGACGCAGGUUCGAUCGCUAGUUGGAGCACUAAGAUCCCACAUGCCAGGGUGGGGGGCAACUAAGCCCAUGUACCGCAACUACUGAGCUCGCACGCCUCAACUAGAGAGCCCAUGUACCACAAACUAUAGAGCCCAUGCGCCCUGGAGCCCGCUCCACAGCUAGAGAGAAACCUGAGCAGGCCACGCGCCCUAACGAAAAAGAUCCCGCACGCCACAAAAAGAUCCUGUGUGCUGCAACUAAGACCCAACGCAGCCAAAAAAAAAAGAAAUAAGGAAAAUAAAUAAAUAAAAUUAAUAUUUUUUAAAAAAGAGAGAGAUUUACUUAAAAAAAAAAAAAAAGCAGCUCGCCCAGCCACCAGCCCCUUGAACAAGAGGUAUGACUUUUAACAAAAAGGAACGCUAUUACAUUAGUAAUAUGCUGCCCAGGGGUGGGGAGAGAUGAGCUCAUGGUGCUUUCAGCAGGUAAUCAAAGCCUUGCCUUAAAUUGCCUUUUCUUGCCUUUUGCUGAAUGUUUGUUCCAGGGAAAUAGCCAAGGGAGGGAAUUCUGAAGCCUGUACUCUGAAAAUGAGGUGCCUUGCAGAACAGUGGACUCGUUAAUUGGGUCAACCUUAAUAGUUUCUGCAGGACUGCAAGAGGUUUACCCCAAAAGACCUCUAGCCACUAAUUUAUUAGUCAUCCCAAGGAUAUGUCACUAUUGCAGGCACUCAGAAGGAGCGGCUGAAAUCAAGUGAAGUCGCUCUUAGCUGGGCAUCAGAUAGGGAGAGUCUGAUGGCCUCCUGCCAUUUGCAACAUCCUUUGAGGACACAGGAGGGUGAGAGAGGGAAGAAUUUGAAGAAAGAGAGCACUGAGGCUUAUAAGGGGACAAUAUCUCCCUGGUGCCCAGGUAUUUUUAAAUGUUUCUUUGACAGAGCACCAGAGACAUUUCCCUAGUAAUGAAGGCAGGGAAGAGGUACCAUCUCAGACAUUAAAUAUAACGUUUGUCAAGCUUGUGUGUGUGUGUGUGUGUGUGUGUGUGCGCGUUUGUCAAGCUUGUGUGCGCCUGUGUCUCUGCAUCUUUGUGCUAAGUAUUUGCAGAAUGUCUUGCAAACAACUUCAAAGAACCUAGGGAGAAAAACAGAAGUGUUCUGGAAAGAAA